rnacentral:rRNA from 1 species
UACGGAGGUGGCAAGCGUUGCUCGGAAUCACUGGGCGUAAAGGGCGCGUAGGCGGGGAGGUAAGUCGGGUGUGAAAUCCCUCGGCCCAACUGAGGAACUGCGCUCGAGACUGCUUCUCUUGAGUCCCGGAGAGGAAGAUGGAAUUCCCGGUGUAGCGGUGAAAUGUGUAGAGAUCGGGAGGAACACCGGUGGCGAAGGCGGUCUCUGGACGGUGACUGACGCUGAGGCGCGAAGCGUGGGGAGCAAACGGAUUGAGAUA